rnacentral:rRNA from 1 species
AGUGAACGCUGGCGGUAGGCCUAACACAUGCAAGUCGAACGGCAGCACAGUAAGAGCUUGCUCUUACGGGUGGCGAGUGGCGGACGGGUGAGGAAUACAUCGGAAUCUACUUUUUCGUGGGGGAUAACGUAGGGAAACUUACGCUAAUACCGCAUACGACCUACGGGUGAAAGCAGGGGAUCUUCGGACCUUGCGCGAUUGAAUGAGCCGAUGUCGGAUUAGCUAGUUGGCGGGGUAAAGGCCCACCAAGGCGACGAUCCGUAGCUGGUCUGAGAGGAUGAUCAGCCACACUGGAACUGAGACACGGUCCAGACUCCUACGGGAGGCAGCAGUGGGGAAUAUUGGACAAUGGGCGCAAGCCUGAUCCAGCCAUAACGCGUGGGUGAAGAAGGCCUUCGGGUUGCAAAGCCCUUUUGUUGGGAAAGAAAAGCAGCAGGUUAAUACCCCGCUGUUCUGACGGUACCCAAAGAAUAAGCACCGGCUAACUUCGUG